rnacentral:lncRNA from 1 species
CUUCCAUGUCCAUUCAUACCCUGGGUGUAGACAUGUCCUAACAUUCACAGGUGAAGAGACUUCCACUUUGUAUUGCCUACAGAUUUUAAAAAAUCCUCUUUCAUUGUUUCCACACCAAAGGCUAAAAUACAGUAAAUUCAGUGCUACCUUUCUUCCUUCCUGUGCCAUCCCUUUCUGAGAAGAGAUGGCAACACCGGCAACUGCCUGCUGGACUAUAAAGAACACUGGUGUAGCUUCACAAUCAAGAUCUAACAAGACAAGCUGUGAAAGGAAUGAUUACUUGAAAAUAAUAUAGCCCUAUAACAGCCCAACUCCAGAAACUGGUGCUUUGGUAGUAUUGUUAAAUGCUGUCAGUAUUGCAGUAAGACCAUGAAAUUCUACAACACCACAGAACAAAUGUGACUGUAUUUCUACUUGACAGGAAAUAAUUGAAAUAAAGAAAUAUUAUUUCACA